UACUAAGAAAGCUGUUAUGGGCGAAAAUGAUCUUAGAAAGCAAUACAAACAAUCUACCAAACUUUUAUUUCCAGAGUUCAUAAUUUUUCUUCCAUAGUUCAUAAUUUUUCUUUACAAGUGUGAGCUGAUAUAUACAGGCCUUGGAGUUAGUUAGUUUUCUUGUUCUCUGUUGACCUCGGAGAAAACAGCACAGACGACUAUAAGAGGGCAAGACUGCGCAAGAAUGAAAAUAAAAUAAAAUGCAAAGGGUGAUACGAAAGAUGAUAGGAAAGGACACAUUAGAUGAAGUUCAGGGGGCCCUUCUCAGGACUCUACAUAGGAAGGGCAAGUUUGAAAAGGAAACAUUAGAUGAAGUUCAGGGGGCCCUUCUCAGGACUCUAUAUACAGGAAGGGCAAGUUUGAAAAGGAAACAUUAGAUGAAGUUCAGGGGGCCCUUCUCAGGACUCUAUAUAGGAAGGGCAAGUUUGAAAAGGAAACAUUAGAUGAAGUUCAGGGGGCCCUUCUCAGGACUCUACAUAGGAAGGGCAAGUUUGAAAAGGAAACAUUAGAUGAAGUUCAGGGGGCCCUUCUCAGGACUCUACAUAGGAAGGGCAAGUUUGAAAAGGAAACAUUAGAUGAAGUUCAGGGGGCCCUUCUCAGGACUCUACAUAGGAAGGGCAAGUUUGAAAAGGAAACACUAGAUGAAGUUCAGGGGGCCCUUCUCAGGACUCUAUAUACAGGAAGGGCAAGUUUGAAAAGGAAACACUAGAUGAAGUUCAGGGGGCCCUUCUCAGGACUCUACAUAGGAAGGGCAAGUUUGAAAAGGAAACAUUAGAUGAAGUUCAGGGGGCCCUUCUCAGGACUCUAUAUACAGGAAGGGCAAGUUUGAAAAGGAAACAUUAGAUGAAGUUCAGGGGGCCCUUCUCAGGACUCUAUAUACAGGAAGGGCAAGUUUGAAAAGGAAACAUUAGAUGAAGUUCAGGGGGCCCUUCUCAGGACUCUAUAUACAGGAAGGGCAAGUUUGAAAAGGAAACAUUAGAUGAAGUUCAGGGGGCCCUUCUCAGGACUCUAUAUACAGGAAGGGCAAGUUUGAAAAGGAAACAUUAGAUGAAGUUCAGGGGGCCCUUCUCAGGACUCUAUAUACAGGAAGGGCAAGUUUGAAAAGGACACACUAGAUGAAGUUCAGGGGGCCCUUCUCAGGACUCUAUAUAUAGGAAGGGCAAGUUUGAAAAGGACACACUAGAUGAAGUUCAGGGGGCCCUUCUCAGGACUCUCUAUAUAGGAAGGGCAAGUUUGAGCAAGAAUGUUAAGUAAAAAAUCUUAAAAAAUACAAAUACAAAGGGUAAUACAAAAAAAUAAGCAUAAAUGAGAUAUCACACAUGACUCUACAUUCAGAGUAAACAUACAUUCAAUCUUUAGUAUAGCUUAAGAUUAUAAUAAUUGUUUUGGUCUCAUAAAAAUCAAAAUGCCAAAUGUUGCAAUAGACGAAGUUGUUUGCACCAUUGAACAAAUAUCAUCUUUCUAUUUUCAGACAACUGUGAGGAAGCUGGCAUGAAACCAUUUAAUCUGCUGACUGUAAAUUUCCUGCCAGAAGACAUCACCAAGCUACAGGAGCGGAGCAAAAAGUGGCUGCUACAAGUCAAUGAAGAAAUGUAAAGUCCUGCACCUUGGGAGGGGAUAUCCAACACACCAAUACCACAUGGGAAACACUCCACUAUCCACCACAGA